UCGGCCGCAACCGCAUCGGCAUGGCGCGCCCGCUGCCGCUGCGCGGCUCGUCUUCUCCGGCGAGGCUGAGGCCGGUUCCGAACGCGGCGCAGCCGAAC
rnacentral:tRNA from 1 species